AUGCGCGACCUGGAGCUUCNNNNNNNNNNNNNNNNNNNNNNNNNNNNNNNNNNNNNNNNNNNNNNNNNNNNNNNNNNGUGCGCGCUCACGGGGUCUGCGGACGCGCGACCUGGAGCUUCGUGCCAGCAUUUGCUCAUGAGCAAGGUUGGGAGGUCGCUGAGUGCAUCCGAGGUGCAGAUCUGGGAGCCAGAAGAGGAUGACAUGACGGAAGGCGACCUGGGCUACGGCCUCAGCCGGACACCUGGCAGCCUCUGCAAGCUGGAAGACUCACGUUUACGUACAUCCAGAAGAUCAGAUGGGAAGAGCUUCAGUCCUCCUCCACCUCCAAGGGAUGGGGAAGAAAGAAAUGGGGCCGUUUUCCAGUAUUUCCCGCAGAAGAGCCAGCAAACCACAAGUCCCCAGAGGCCCAGAACAUCCAGCUGUAGUCAGGAAGGGAACCCUGAGUCUAAUUCAGAACUGUCAAAUGAAGAACUAAGGCAACGUCUUCAAGAAACCUUAGAGGUAUGUCCUCUGGCUAAUAUAUAAAGUCUCAUGUGAAUAAAGUCUGCUAAUGGAAACUUUGUUUAAAUCAUACCAAAUUGUAAAUACUGGCUUUCCAGAUAUUCUGUUUUCUUUGUUAGGUGCUGGGGAUUACCUGGGGUGUUGGGCCUGAGUCCAGCCUCUGAACCGUCACUCACCCUCUGUCUUUUCAGCCCUCCUGUUUCUCAUGCACCCCAUCUUUUGAAAGGGUGCUGUAUCAUCAUGCCCUGUUUUGUGUCUUCUGCUCGCCUUUGACCUGCUCCUCUGCCCUCCUCCGCUCCCCGAUGUUAGAUGUCCUCCCUGGGAGGGUCUGAGGCCUGAGCCUGGGUGGGCGUGUAGCUCCCUCCUUUGGGAAACAGGAAGCCCGCCUUGGUGUGUUUGUGACUUUUCUUGUCCAAAUGACUGUUGACAAAGUACCACAAACUGGUGGUUUAAAACGGCAGAAAUUACUGCCUCUCAGUUCUGGAGGCCACAAACUUGAAUCUAGGUUUGGGUGGGCCUUGCUUCUUCCAGAGGCUCCAGAGGCGAACCCCUGUGUGCCUCUUGGUGCUUUCAGUGGUUGCUGCAGCCCUUGGUGCUCAGCCCUUGGCUGGUAGCAGCAAAAUCCUGUCUCUGCCCCUGUCUCUCAUAGCUUUCUCCACUGAGUGUCGCUCCUCAGAAAUGUCCCUAAUUGUGUAGACUCCAGUCAUUGGGCCAUCAUGACUUUCCUCACAGACUUCAGGGUGUAUUUUUAUCUCGCUUUGUCCUCUUUGAUUCAAUCCUAGCUUGCUCCGCAGAGCCAAUUUGUCUCACUCUUCACUUUUACUUUUUCAAAUAAAC
rnacentral:lncRNA from 1 species